GAUGAAGAACGUAGCGAAAUGCGAUAAGUAAUGUGAAUUGCAGAAUCCAGUGAAUCAUCGAAUCUUUGAACGCACAUUGCGCCCGCCAGUAUUCUGGCGGGCAUGCCUGUCCGAGCGUCAUUUCAACCAUCAAGCCCCAGGCUUGUGUUGGGGACCUGCGUCCGACGCAGGCCCUGAAAACCAGUGGCGGGCUCGCUGCCCACACCGAGCGUAGUAACUAACCUCGCUACGGGAGCGGCGCGGGCGCCUGCCGUAAAACCCCCAAUUUUCACAAGGUUGACCUCGGAUCAGGUAGGAAUACCCGCUGAACUUAAGCAUAUCAAUAAGCGGAGGA
rnacentral:misc_RNA from 1 species